UUAAACUUAAGGGUACAAAUUUAUGUACUAGGCUGUUCUCCGUCCCAAGUAAAUUUACGCAUGGCAUAGCAAUUAAGAAAAACACAAAGAAGACUACGAGUGCAAUCACGAAAAACCAGGUCCGUCUUUAACACUGUUUCUGCGUCUGUCUGCAGACUUCUGCCUCUCUCCCACCACUGCUACAACCGCCACAGCUACCGCCUCCAUGGGUCAAGGCCCAUCAGGCAUGAACCGCCCACCGGGCGAUCGCAAAAAUGAUUCCGAUAACAAAAAGGACAAGAAAUACGAACCCGCGGCUCCCCCGUCCCGCGUCGGCCGCAAGCAGCGGAAACAAAAGGGCCCUGAGGCCGCCGCCCGACUGCCAACCGUCACCCCUCUGACUAAAUGUAAGCUUCGCCUCCUGAAACUAGAGCGCAUCAAGGACUAUCUUCUAAUGGAGGAGGAAUUCGUGGCCAAUCAAGAGAGGCUGAAGCCGUUAGAGGAGAAGAACGAGGAAGAUAGAUCGAAGGUCGACGAUUUGAGAGGCUCGCCAAUGAGCGUCGGCAACUUGGAGGAGCUAAUUGAUGAAAACCACGCCAUAGUUUCGUCGUCAGUCGGGCCUGAGUACUAUGUGGGGAUUCUUUCCUUCGUUGAUAAGGACCAGCUCGAGCCUGGGUGCGCUAUUCUCAUGCACAAUAAGGUCCUUUCUGUUGUUGGGCUUCUUCAAGAUGAGGUUGAUCCCAUGGUUUCUGUAAUGAAGGUUGAGAAAGCUCCACUGGAAUCAUAUGCUGAUAUUGGUGGGUUGGAUGCCCAAAUACAAGAAAUUAAAGAAGCAGUGGAGCUUCCACUCACUCAUCCUGAAUUGUAUGAAGAUAUUGGUAUUAAACCCCCUAAAGGAGUCAUACUUUAUGGGGAGCCUGGAACUGGUAAAACUUUGCUUGCCAAGGCAGUCGCAAAUUCUACUUCCGCAACUUUCUUGCGUGUAGUAGGGAGUGAAUUGAUUCAGAAAUACUUGGGAGAUGGCCCAAAAUUAGUCAGGGAACUCUUCAGAGUUGCAGAUGAUCUUUCGCCAUCAAUUGUAUUCAUUGAUGAAAUAGAUGCAGUUGGCACAAAGAGAUAUGAUGCACAUUCUGGUGGUGAACGUGAGAUACAGAGAACUAUGUUGGAAUUGCUGAACCAGUUGGAUGGUUUUGAUUCCAGGGGAGAUGUUAAAGUAAUUCUUGCAACAAACAGAAUAGAAAGUCUUGAUCCUGCUUUGCUGCGCCCUGGAAGAAUAGACAGAAAGAUUGAAUUUCCCCUUCCAGAUAUCAAAACCAGAAGGCGCAUAUUCCAGAUACAUACAUCGAGGAUGACAUUGGCAGAUGAUGUUAACUUAGAAGAGUUUGUAAUGACCAAGGAUGAAUUCUCUGGGGCUGAUAUCAAAGCUAUAUGUACAGAAGCUGGCUUGCUAGCUUUAAGAGAGCGGCGCAUGAAGGUGACUCAUGCAGACUUCAAGAAAGCAAAGGAGAAAGUGAUGUUCAAAAAGAAAGAAGGGGUGCCAGAAGGACUUUAUCUAUGAAGGCAAAUCCUUUAUGUGAGGGUAGUAGAAACUCUUUUCUUGUUUCUUUUAGCUCUUCACAUCGGGUUCCAUGAUCUUCGUUUGAGAUAUAGAUGGAGACAGACUCAUUGGGUGGAUUUGAGUACGGAAGAUAAGUGGAAAUAAGGGGAGUGAGAGUGACAUGCAGCUUGAGGUUUUAUGGAAAGGAGGAAGAUGGCGGUGGGGCUUCAGCGGUGAAUUGGAGAUUGGGUUGUGGAACGGUGCAAAUACUGGAAAGGGAAUAGGGGUGAAUUUGAGGGUUGUAAAAGAGACGAAUAAAGGAACAGGAACAAAAAAACUAUGUAGGAUAAUUUUAUCUUCUUGUUAAAAAUUAGCGGUAAAGUUUUCUUUUAA